CCCUUAGAUGUUCUGGGCCGCACGUGCGCUACACUGACGGAGGCAGCGAGCAUGUCCUUCGCCGAGAGGUGUGGGGAAUCUUGUGAGUCUCCGUCGUGCUGGGGAUAGAUGGUUGCAAUUGUCGAUCUUGAACGAGGAAUUCCUAGUAAGCGCGAGUCAUCAGCUCGCGCUGAUUACGUCCCUGCCCUUUGUACAUACCGCCCGUCGCUACUACCGAUUGGAUGGUUUAGCGAGAACUUUGGACCGGAGCUCGGGUGGUCAGCAAUGGCCGCCCGAGACAUACUGGGAAAUCGCUCCAGCUUGAUCAUCUAGAGGAAGUAAAAGUCGUAACA
rnacentral:rRNA from 1 species